rnacentral:lncRNA from 1 species
GCAGUGAUAACACUGGAUCCAUAACCCUCUGUGACCCACAGGAACGCUCAUAAGUAUAUAAGUAAACUGAAUGGGACCUUUCCUGCACACCAGUCACAAAAAUGAGUUCUGGCUGCAUAAAUCCUGUGUGUAGAAGUAAACAGCAAAAGUAUUAGAAGAUAAUAUAGUAGGAUAUGUUUUUAACCUUGGUGUUGGACAUAUCUUCCUAAAUCAGACAAAAAUGAAAGCCAUAAAGGGAAGAUUAAUGAACUUGGUUAUAUCAAAAGUUAGUGUGCUUUUAAAAAGUUAAUAGAUAAGCAACAGAAAGGGAAAAAAUGACAAAGGGAAAGCUGUAAGAAUAUCUACAAAUAGGGAGAUAUUCCUAGUUGUGGCUCAGCAGAAACAAAUCUGACUAGCAUCCAUAAGGGUGCAGGUUCGAUCCCUGGCCUCCACCCAGCACUGCUGUGAGCUGUGGUGUAGGACACAGACGCGGCUCGGAUCUGAUGUGGCUGUGGUAUAGGCCAGUGGCUACAGCUCCGAUUUGACCCCUAGCCUGGGAACCUCCAUAUGCCAUGGGGUGCAGCCCUGAAAAGCAAAACAAAAACAAAAUGCUACAGAUAGGUAAAGGACAACCAAGCAAGAAUGAAAAUGAACAAAAGAUAAGAAUGGGCAAAUCAUAGAAGAAAUGAAGAUGACUAAUGAAUAUGAGUCCCUACCUGGCUAGUACUGAGAUGCAAAUUUAAAUAACGUAUUAUAAAAACUUGGCAACUGUGUGGAGAAAUGGGUACUCCUUACUGGCACUCUGGAGGCACUGAAGUUUUUAAAAUGUUCACUAUAACCUCUGGCGGGCAGAUUAGUUAGUAUAUGAAACUGGAAACAAUCUAAAUUUCAGUCUAAAUCUAAAUCAAUAGAGGCAUACAUAGGCUACACGGAAAUAGUAGCACCAGUUUAAAAGAAAGGACUGGUAGUAGUGAUAGGGAUUUGUCAAUAAAAAACUGAUUAAAAAGUGAAAAAUGUGCUUAAUAAUAGAGUAUCAGAGAUUUUAAACCUAUUUCUAAGACGUUUUCACAAGCAUGCAAACAUUCAGAAAAAGUCUUGGACACAUCCAACGGAUAAGUGUUUCUUUUGGAGAGAGAACUGGAAGUUCCUGGGGCUAGAGGUCAAACUGGAGUUGCAGCUGCUGGCCUAUGCCGCAGCAGCACCAGAUCCAAGCUGCAUCUGCGACCCAUGCCAGAGCCCAUGGCAAUGCUGGAUCCUUUGUCCACUGAGUGAGGCCAGGGAUUGAACCCGCAUCCCCUGAAUACUAGUCGGGGUAGUUACCACUGAGCCACAAGAGGACCUCCAAGAAUGUUAUCAUUUAAAAUUGCAAACCAUUUAAAAUUUCACACCAUGGAAAAAUUGAAGUUAUGGAGAACUAGGUCAACUAGGGUGAGAGCUGGCAGCCUAAGGUGAAAACUUUUUUGGACUCUGGAGAAUCUCACCAACUCACCAGCUCUUCCCUUGACUACAGAGAGUCUAGUAAACCUCAUUCAGGUAAAGAGAGCUACAAGAACCUUUGCUAUCUACCUAAGAUAACUACACCAUACCAUUCUUAAGUGUGAACAGACAACUAAGGAUCAUCACAGAUGAAGAAACGUAUCAGCAUAAGGACCAAGAGACAGCCGAAACUCAGAAGAGGAGAAGUUAUAUAAUGAGAAGAAAAUUAACAUUUAUGUUAGUCUGAGAUUUAUCAGAUGAUGCAUUAUUUUGUCUUUUGUCUUCUUAGGGCCUCACUCGCAGCAUAUGGAGGUUCCCAGGCUAGGGGUCUAAUCAGAGCUACAGCUGCUGGCCUAUGCCACAGCCACGUCAAUGCCAGAUCUGAGCCACAUCUGAAUCCUUAACCCACUGAGCAAGGCCAGGGAUCGAACCCACAACCUCGUGGUUCCUAGUUGGAUUCAUUUUCCACUGCGCCACGAUGGGAAUUCCAGAUGAUGCAUUUUUAAAGCAAGUAUGAGAAGCUACCAAAAAGAAUUAAGUAAGAACUCUUAAGAAUGAAAAAGCAUUCUUGGAGUUCCCUCUCUGGUGCAAUGGGAUCAGAGGCAUCUCUGGAGUGCUGGAAUAGAGGUUUGAUCCCCAGGCCGGCAAAGUGGAUUAAGGAUCCAGCACUGCUGCAGCAACAACAUAGGGUGCAACUGUGGCCCAGCUCUGAUCCCUGGCCAGGAAUUCCCUAUGCCGUAGGGUGGAAGAAAAAAGAAUGCAUUACUACUGUAAUAAUAGAAGGUUUGAAAGAAAAUUAUGGAAACUCUUUUAAGUUCAUGAAUCUAAAAGAAAAUGAGAGACAAAAGGGACUUGGAAGUUUACAAGGUCCAAUGUCUAACUAAUGCACGUUUCAGAGAAAAAAAUUAAUAGAGAAAAUCUAAGAGCACUGUAUUAAAUAAGUGGUUAAGAAUCUUUCUAAACUGAAAAAAGUUAUGACUGUUCAAUGUGGAUUAAUUCACUGAAUGGUGAGCAAGCUGAAGUGCUCAACCAUACUUAUACAAUCACAAUUAUAUUAUAAAAACAAUUACAAUAGGAAAAAAGGCACCAGAAUUAUGCUUGUGGAAUUUCAUAAUACUACAGAUGAGACUAUCCUAAAAGUUUUCCAAAAAAUGUUAAUUCCUCCUAAAAGAUAAUAAUAAUCAAGACAGCAUUAGCCUUCCCUCCCAUGAGCAAUAUUAUUUAUUUACUUAUUUGCUUUUUAGGGCCACACCUGGGGCAUAUGAAAGUUCCCAGGCUAGGGGUUGAAUCAGAGCUGCAGCUGCCGGCCUACACCACAGCCACAGCAACGCAGAUCUCAGCCGCAUCUGUGUCCUAUGUCACAGCUCACGGAUCCUUAACCCACCAAGCAAGGCCCAGGUAUCGAACCUGCAACCUCAUGUUCCUAGUCAGAUUCAUUUCUGCUGCACCACAAUGGGGACUCCAUGAGCAAUAUUAGAUUGUAGAAUACAAAAUAGCACUUGUCAACUCAAGAGGUAAAAUUUCAUGGAAUCUAGAGGUCUAUAUCCAAACAGUAAAAAAAAAAAACAUGAGGCUAAAAUAAAAUAAAACAUGAGGUUGGGCCACAGAUUGAAUCAUGCCACAGGAGCGGCAAUGUCUGAUCCUAAACCUGCCGAGCCACAAGGGAACUCCCAAAUACUGGUAUUUUGCAUGUGUGGUUUACUUCAGUUUACUCCCCCUGUCCUUUAUAUAGGAGAUUAAAUGAUUAGCAACAUUUGGAUGGAAAAGGAAAGAAACAAGAAUGGCUUUAUGCAGUGGACCUACCCUGGCACAGUAGGGUUGAGGAUAACUAGCAUGGUCAUCCUGCAGCAAUCAGACCAAAUUACUGGUAGGCUAGAAAUCCAGGGAGACAGGGAAGAAAAACUUGAGGAAGACUGGAAAGGGUUACAUUACAUAGAAUUAACACGAAGCAUGAGGAUUUGUUUGUUCUUUUUGGCUGCAUCCACAGCGUAUGAAGUUCUGGGCCAGGGAAAGAACCUGCACCACAGCCGUGACGAUGCCAGAUCCGUAACCCGGUGUGCCCCAAAGGAACUCUUCAAGUUUGGGGAUUCUAGUAAUAUAGUGAAGACAAAAGUUUGUUACAAGAAGAGAAAGGCAAUUAUUGGCUCUUGAAAAAAAAACAAAGGCAAAGCCAUACCAAACAGCAUGGUCCUAUUAGAAGCCAAGCCCUCAUAAAGUGUGUCAAUUUUGGAAAAUAGCUAAAAUUUUAAAAAGAAUCUGUAUGACGGAUAUUAGAAAUAGACUCCUUUGAGUGGGAACUGGGGUCACAAUAUUGGACUUAAUAGGAGGAAAUAUCUUCGCAUACUGCUUGGUUCUGGCCCUUCGGGGAAUAACAUUUACAUGGUGAUAAGGAUCUAAUGCUAUUUUGUUUCCCACUUCAAAACAGAAAAAUCCCUUAAGUCUUGUACGUGUAUAUAUUGAUCUACCUACUUAAUAACGGAAAGGCAAAAUACAGCUGAUAGACGGACGGCGGAGUUUGCCAGGGAAAUAAGAGACUGAAGCGAGGGGGCGAUAUGCUUCGGGUAUGUAAAGGGCCAUUUCUAAAACCGACAUCUCCUCUAUAUAUCUCGAGUAAGAAGUACAGGUCAGCUAUAUUUCAAGUUAAAAAUACAUCAGAGAGGCUCAUUUAACUUACCUGAUGGGAUGAGUUAAGUCCUUGUUCUCUGAUAAGAAAGACUCGUAAAUGAGUGCAUGAAGUUGAUGAAUUUACAAAUAAGACUAUAGCAGCUAUAAUCAGGAUUCUGACAGAAACUCAAUCCGAAUUCAUUUAGGGAAAAGGUUAUUUAUCAGCUCCUUAAGCUGAAAGAUGCCGAGCGUGUAUGGUCCAGCCUCAGGCAGGCGGGACCUAGGUGCUCCGAUUCAUCCGAGAUGAGUAGCUCAUCGUUCUUUCAGUUGUUUCAUUCUCGGGCAGGCUGUCAUUUGGUAGGAAUAAAAUGGUGCAUGAUAUUAGACUUUAAAAUCCUUAGAGUUUUUAUGGAGUUCCCGUCGUGGCGCAGUGGUUAACGAAUCCGACUAGGAACCAUGAGGUUGCGGGUUUGAUCCCUGCCCUUGCUCAGUGGGUUAUGGAUCCGGCGUUGCCGUGAGCUGUGGUGUAGGCUGCAAACACAGCUCCGAUCCCACGUUGCUGUGGCCCUGGUGUAGGCCGGCGGCUACAGCUCCGAUUUGACCCCUAGCUUGGGAACCUCCAUAUGCCACAGGAGUGGCCCAAGAAAUG